GACGAACGCUGGCGGCGUGCUUAACACAUGCAAGUCACGGGGGCCCGCAAGGGUAACCGGCGAACGGGUGCGUAACACGUGAGCAAGCUUCCGAUUUGUGGGGGAUAGCCGGCCUAACGGCCGGGUAAUACCGCAUACGUUCCCUGGACGGCAUCGUCCGGGGCGGAAACCUCCGGGGCAAACCGAGGUGCUCGCGGCCUACCAGCUAGUUGGCGGGGUAACGGCCCACCAAGGUGAUGACGGGCAGCUGGUCUGAGAGGAUGACCAGCCACAUUGGGACUGAGACACGGCCCAGACUCCUACGGGAGGCAGCAGUGGGGAAUAUUGCGCAAUGGACGAAAGUCUGACGCAGCGACGCCGCGUGUGGGAUGAAGCCUUUCGGGGUGUAAACCACUGUUGCCCGGGACGAAAUGCCCUUUCGAGGGAAUUGACGGUACCGGGUGAGGAAGCACCGGCUAACUCUGUGCCAGCCGCCGCCGUAAUAC
rnacentral:rRNA from 1 species